GAACGAGAAAGUGGAGCAAUCCAUGAGUAAAGUGGCGACCGGGUGAGUAACACGUGACUAACCUGCCCUUGAGUGGGGGAUAACCUCGGGAAACCGGGGCUAAUACCGCAUAACAUCGCAAGAUCAAAGGAGCAAUCCGCUGAAGGAGGGGGUCGCGGCUGAUUAGUUAGUUGGUGAGGUAACGGCUCACCAAGACGAAGAUCAGUAGCCGGCCUGAGAGGGCGCACGGCCACACUGGAACUGAAACACGGUCCAGACUCCUACGGGAGGCAGCAGUGGGGAAUUUUGCGCAAUGGGGGAAACCCUGACGCAGCAACGCCGCGUGGAGGAUGAAGUCCCUUGGGAUGUAAACUCCUUUCGAUCGGGACGAUUAUGACGGUACCGGAAGAAGAAGCACCGGCUAACUCUGUG
rnacentral:rRNA from 1 species